rnacentral:rRNA from 1 species
UACGGAGGGUGCAAGCGUUGUCCGGAUUUAUUGGGUUUAAAGGGUGCGUAGGCGGUUCGUUAAGUCCGGGGUGAAAGCCCACUGCUCAACAGUGGAACUGCCCUGGAAACUGGCGGACUUGAGUACAGACGAGGGCGGCGGAAUGGAUGGUGUAGCGGUGAAAUGCAUAGAUACCAUCCAGAACCCCCGAUUGCGAAGGCAGCUGCC